UUUCAUGUCCUAACUUUACAUACAGUUACUAAAAAUACUGCACAUGGCAGUGUUGUCCAAAAAUAAGUUUAAUGGUAAAACUACAUGCACAAAUGCCGGAGUAUCAAAGCAGAAACUGAAUAACGUGGCAGCUUCACAAUUAAAUUAUAUUGCUAAUCGGAUGGUGUAGCAAUACUGCAACCCCAAAAAGAUAUGUAUGUUGCAAACAGAAAGACAAUGAACAGAACUGGAUGCGAAGAAAAUUAGGCAGAAAAACCUUUUUUUCUUCUCCAAUUAAAACUGGAAUGUCCGUUAUCACCAAUAAGGUAAAUGUAGGCCAGCACUAGAAAUUUGUACUAAAUCAGGAGUAAAUUGUGAUGACUUCUCGUCCACCUCCUCUGACAAGUAAUACUCUCUCCAGACCCUCAGUCAAGACUUCAAGAAACUCCAUGUAGUUCUCAUCACCAUCAGUGUUCUUCGGAGGACCAGGCAUAUUAAGGAGAACAAGUCUGGCAUCAUGGGAUCUAUUAACAAUAACUUCAUUCAGCUUCACUGCUGUGUGCAUCCUUCGGACAUUAGAUUGGUUCGGUUUAAUGCUGAUGAGAUCUCUAAAGCUUCCCACAGCACUGCCUCGGUUCCGCUUCUCAGCAUCACAUUUCUCUUUUGUCCAGGUCAUCUGAAUGUUCUCAGGCACAGUGUCCCCCUCAUCUUCUUCAUCUGAGUACAAGCUUUCCAGACGUGCUAUUGAAUGUCUGUCCUUUACUAGCUGAGCCUCCCUUUCCCGCUCUGUUUUUGUCAGCCUCAUUUGCCUCAGCAUCUGAGAUCUCUGCUCCAUCAUAAGAGUUCUCUCAUAAGUAUAUGCUGAAAUAUCACUGUUAUGCAUUUCUACCACUUCUACCUCUGCCUCUAUUCGGAGUUGAUAGAGGAAAGUAGCCAGGUCCUUCUUCAUCUGGAUGCUGUUGUCAUCCAUCUGUGCCACAGUAAAAAUUCUCAUCUUGCAUUUUCUCCAAACUUUGUGUUGUUUGAGUAGAAAAGGAAGAAGCAUCAACAUGCCUCCAUCAUGCACAAUCCACCACACGUCAAUGUUGCCUUCAUUGUAGCGCUCAUGGUUGCUGGGAUAGAAAGACACAUUUUUGGGAACCAGCAGAGCCAAAUGGGCUGCAGUUGUGCAACGAACAGUACCUAUAAACGUUUUCCAUGACCUUGGAUCUUCACUUUGCCUCCAUCCAUACGGCCAUCCUAAAACCACGGUAUUAUGUUUCAUGCCACCAAGUCCACAGGACUGGAUUAAGUGGGCAAUUCCUUCCCGAACUUUAUUGGCUACAACUACUUGACAGAACCCUUUCACCUUCUCAAUGUCCAUCAUAUUUUUAAUAGUCUGUUCAGCAGCCUGGGCUUCUCCAUAAGUUUCCAAGAAGUUCCCUUGGAUGACUGAUCCUAUGAUAGUCAAACCUUUGCCAGCUUUCAGCUGGG
rnacentral:lncRNA from 1 species